GAGUGCUUGCUUUGGCCACUCAUAUACUAAAUUGGAAUGAUACAGAGAAGAUUAGCAUGGUCCCUGUGCAAGGAUGGCAUACAAAUUCAUGUAGUGUUCCACAUGUUU
ensembl:snRNA U6 U6 spliceosomal RNA